UGUGUCAGGACAUGUGUUCCUACAUAUCGACGCAGGACACAAAAGGUCAGUGACAAGAAGCUGUGCAGACGGAGGCCAUCACGAGGACCAUCACUCACCCACCCGGGCUGCGUCUUGUCAGUCAUGGUGUGGACCUCCUGCUAGAGCCUGAAUGGAGAAACAUCCAUUUCUGCUCAAAGGUCAAGGACAAAGUGGAUGGUGACAAAGAGUCAGUGAGUGAACGGGACAUUUUUCAGUGAGUUGCACAAAGGUUGAAAUUGGCCUGCCACUUAUCCACAGAGACCAAUGGGAGGAGACAGAAGCAAGACAAACGCCCUGAUUCAAACCUUAGUGAGAUGCCUACAAAGGCAGAUCCCUACAUAGGCUAAAUUGAAACCUCAUAAGUAACGUGAGUUGGAGUGAUUGACCUGAUUUGGGAUGCUCUACAAAUUGUUCCAAUGAAAACCACACAAAUAUUGGGUGCAAUUGUCCUUUUGUAAGUAGAUCGUAGCUAUCAUUUUUAGUGUUGAAAUAUAUAUUUAGUAUUUUAUUUAUUUAAUUGAGCUUGUUACAUUGCAUUUUUGUAUAGUCAAACACUUAUGUGACUCUAUACAGCCAGCCAAAAGCAUUCUGUGUGUUGUUGUUGUUUUUUUUUUUUGUUUUUUGUUUUUAUUAAUGAAUCAAUUUUGAUGUUUUGGGCUAUUUGAGUUUUCAUAAAGUGUUGUUUGAGACUAGUGGAAAACAACAACAACAGAAAAACACAUAUUUGAGCGUUUAUUUUACACUAUAUAUUUGCAUCUUUAGAUUUCAUUUCCAGUCCAUUUGGACUAACUUUACAGUUUUAUU